rnacentral:rRNA from 1 species
UACGUAGGGUGCGAGCGUUAAUCGGAAUUACUGGGCGUAAAGCGUGCGCAGGCGGUUCGUUAAGUCAGAUGUGAAAGCCCCGGGCUCAACCUGGGAACGGCAUUUGAGACUGGCGAGCUGGAGUCUGGCAGAGGGGGGUGGAAUUCCACGUGUAGCAGUGAAAUGCGUAGAGAUGUGGAGGAACACCGAUGGCGAAGGCAGCCCCCUGGGCUGAGACUGACGCUCAGGCACGAAAGCGUGGGGAG